rnacentral:rRNA from 1 species
AGAGUUUGAUCCUGGCUCAGGACGAACGCUGGCGGCGUGCUUAACACAUGCAAGUCGAACGGGGAUAGUUGCGGAAGGACUUCGGUUUGGAAGCGAUUAUUCGAGUGGCGGACGGGUGAGUAACGCGUGAGCAAUCUGUCCCAGACAGGGGGAUAACACUUGGAAACAGGUGCUAAUACCGCAUGAGACCACGGCAUCGCAUGGUGCUGAGGUAAAAGGAGAAAUCCGGUUUGGGGUGAGCUCGCGUCCGAUUAGCCAGUUGGCGGGGUAACGGCCCACCAAAGCGACGAUCGGUAGCCGACCUGAGAGGGUGAUCGGCCACAUUGGAACUGAGAGACGGUCCAAACUCCUACGGGAGGCAGCAGUGGGGAAUAUUGGGCAAUGGGCGAAAGCCUGACCCAGCAACGCCGCGUGAGUGAAGAAGGCCUUCGGGUUGUAAAGCUCUGUUACAGGUGACGAAGGAAGUGACGGUAAUCUGUAAGGAAGCCCCGGCUAACUACGUGCCAGCAGCCGCGGUAAUACGUAGGGGGCGAGCGUUGUCCGGAAUGACUGGGCGUAAAGGGCGUGUAGGCGGCCGACUAAGUCUGGAGUGAAAGUCCUGCUUUCAAGGUGGGAAUUGCUUUGGAUACUGGUUGGCUUGAGUGCGGAAGAGGUAAGUGGAAUUCCCAGUGUAGCGGUGAAAUGCGUAGAGAUUGGGAGGAACACCAGUGGCGAAGGCGACUUACUGGGCCGUAACUGACGCUGAGGCGCGAAAGCGUGGGGAGCGAACAGGAUUAGAUACCCUGGUAGUCCACGCGGUAAACGAUGAAUGUUAGGUGUUGCGGGUAUCGACCCCUGCAGUGCCGGAGUAAACACAAUAAACAUUCCGCCUGGGGAGUACGGCCGCAAGGUUGAAACUCAAAGGAAUUGACGGGGGCC